CCUACGGGAGGCUGCAGUGAGGAAUAUUGGUCAAUGGACGCAAGUCUGAACCAGCCAUGCCGCGUGCAGGAAGAAGGCCCUAUGAGUUGUAAACUGCUUUUGUACGAGGGUAAACGCUGAGACGUGUAACCGUCUGGAAGUACCGUACGAAUAAGGAUCGGCUAACUUCGCGCCAGCAGCCGCGGUAAUACGGAGGAUUCAAGCGUUAUGCGGAUUUAUUGGGUGUAAAGGGUGCGUAGGCGGUCGGAUAAGUUAGAUGUGAAAUCCCGGGGCUCAACUUCGGAAUUGCAUCUGAUACUGGUCGGCUAGAGUGUAGUAGCGGGAGGCAGAAUGUAUGGUGUAGCGGUGAAAUGCGUAGAGAUC
rnacentral:rRNA from 1 species